CUAUUGAAUAGAGCCAACUGCACGUUAGGAAUGCAUUGGAGUCUAUGAAGUUGAAGUUGAAAUCAAACGUUAGUUAAAACGUGAAAGGGAACUUUUCCCUGAUUCAGUAAACACGCGAGUCCCCCAGCCUGCACCAGAGAGGCCGCGAGUCCCCCGGCCUGCACCAGAGAAAACAAGUUUUCUCUGAGCCACUUCAUCCAAUAAGGACACCACAGACCAAUCUUCAUACAUGUGAGUAUUUUAUUAAAUUCAAGAGUGAUCUGCUGUUGCCUGAAUACAUUUUAAUAAGAUCAGUUGUUUAAUGUCAUACAUCCAUAAACCUUUUUCUCUACAGCACUCCUGCGAAAUAUUCUCACAAAUCAAGAGAUGAUGAUGGACCAAAUGAAAAUAAUUUUCACAACUGUCCAGGGAUUGAAAUCUGCAACUGAAGAAGACAUAGGCGUUGAGCCAAACCUGCUGCCAUUAGCUGACCCUCAGUCUGUAGAGAACCUGGAGGAACAGCUCAGAAAUAGACCUGACCUCAAAAAUCAAGUGAAAAACGGACUUGCUCUUAAAGGUGGGGGAGACAUUAAGGAGUGUGUGAAGAGAGUAAUGGCUGCAACUUUAACACAUGCUCUGGCCAAGAAUAUGAACAUGCGAGGCAUAAAUGGGAAGAUUGGCUUCCAGCACUUGUGAUUGCAGCUGUGCGACGUAAUCACCUGACCUCUGAUGCCACGGACCAAGAAAUUGAAACAAAAACAAAAAAAUGGCUUCAAAAUGCACCCGAUUGCAAUGGCGGGAGAAUUGAACGACUGAAAAGGAAAAAUGUUAACUGAUGAUGCUGCUGUUUGAAUGGAUGUUGCUACUGUUAAGCUACUGUUUGAUGUUCUCGAAUAUUGUCAAUAGCAGCAAAUGUAUUUUUGAUAUAUAAAUUC